UGUCCGUGAGAGCAAAUAGUCCCAUGCAUGAGUCUUCCUAAAAUCGGAUAUCAGAUCCAUCUCCAAGCUUAAAGGAGAGAGAAUUCCAAAAGUACAUGCAAAUUCUUGAUUACAUCUUUCCGCACUGGAGAUAAUUUUGAGAGACUUCUAAAAGAUCUUAUACCAAGAUAUCGUCUCGAGUAGUAUAUAGCCUUAAUUACAUUCCUCUGUAUGUUGAUAAAAUUGGCAACAUAUUUCCAAGCCCAUUUGGCAAGCAAGGUAAUAUUCAUCUAUUUAAGGUUUUUCAUACCCAAACCCCCUU
rnacentral:lncRNA from 1 species